AGAACGAACGCUGGCGGCGUGGAUAAGACAUGCAAGUCGAACGGGAUUACUUUUGGUAGCAAUACCGAAAGUGAUUCAGUGGCGAACGGGUGCGUAACACGUGGGCAAUCUACCGAGAAGUGGGGGAUAGCUCGCCGAAAGGCGAAUUAAUACCGCAUGUGAUCAGAGGCGACAUCGCUUCGAAAUCAAAGGUGGCGCAAGCUACCGCUUUUUGAGGAGCCCGCGGCCUAUCGGCUUGUUGGUGAGGUAACGGCUCACCAAGGCAUUGACGGGUAGCUGGUCUGAGAGGACGACCAGUCACACUGGGACUGAGACACGGCCCAGACACCUACGGGUGCAGCAGUCGAGAAUUUUUUCUCAAUGGGGGAAACCCUGAAGGAGCGACGCCGCGUGGAGGAUGAAGGUCUUCGGAUUGUAAACUCCUGUCAUUUGGAACAAGGUGUGCGCGUUAACUGUGCGUCGCAUUGAUAGUACAGAAGAGAAGAGACGGCUAACGU
rnacentral:rRNA from 1 species